AGGUCAAAUUUUUCCAGCGCGCCGCAGCGGAGCUCUUGUGCACAGCUGUGUCGUCUUUUGUGUCUCUGUGAUUGUCUACCGCUUUUAUUUAAGUAGCCAUUCAAUAAUUUGGAAGAAUCCGCGGCCCUCAUCAACGCGUUACUGCAGGGCAGGUGGUUUUCAGUUCAAAAAAGAGACAACUGAACUGUCAAUUGGAAAGGAAAAAUACUUCAGGAAAAAAAUACACCAACUCAAGCCUACAGAAUUUUGGAUGUAUAAUAAAAAGAUAAUGGUUGAGCAUAGUUUACAAUUAACUAUGGUAGAUGGAAAGAUCGAGCAAGCAACGCGUCAACCUAACAGAAACGUUAAAAACAAUUUAAGAAUGCCAAAAGGCUAUAAAGAAAGU